CCUACGGGAGGCAGCAGUGAGGAAUAUUGGUCAAUGGACGAGAGUCUGAACCAGCCAAGUAUCGUGAAGGAUGAAUUCCCUAUGGGUUGUAAACUUCUUUUAUAUGGGAAUAAAACAGAGUAUGCAUUAACUCUAGUAUGUACCAGAUGAAUAAGGAUCGGCUAACUCCGUGCCAGCAGCCGCGGUAAUACGGAGGAUCCGAGCGUUAUCCGGAUUUAUUGGGUAUAAAGGGAGCGUAGGUGGAUUGUUAAGUCAGUUGUGAAAGUUUGCGGCUGAACCGUAAAAUUGCAUUUGAAACUGGCAGUCUUUAGUACAGGAGAGGUGGGCGGAAUUCGUGGUGUAGCGGUGAAAUGCUUAGAUAUCACGAAGAACUCCGAUUGCGAAGGCAGCUCACUAGACUGCAACUGACAUUGAUGCUCGAAAGUGUGGGUAUCAAACAGGAUUAGAUACCCGUGUAGUC
rnacentral:rRNA from 1 species